GACGAACGCUGGCGGCGUGCCUAAUACAUGCAAGUCGAGCGCAGGAAACUGACGGAACUCUUCGGAGGGAAGGCAGUGGAAUGAGCGGCGGACGGGUGAGUAACACAUAAGGAACCUGCCUCAAGGAUUGGGAUAACUCCGAGAAAUCGGAGCUAAUACCGGAUAGUUCAACGGACCGCAUGGUCCGCUGAUGAAAGGCGCUCCGGCGUCACCUUGAGAUGGCCUUGCGGUGCAUUAGCUAGUUGGUGGGGUAACGGCUCACCAAGGCGACGAUGCAUAGCCGACCUGAGAGGGUGAUCGGCCACACUGGGACUGAGACACGGCCCAGACUCCUACGGGAGGCAGCAGUAGGGAAUCUUCCACAAUGGACGAAAGUCUGAUGGAGCAACGCCGCGUGAGUGAUGAAGGUUUUCGGAUCGUAAAACUCUGUUGUAAGGGAAGAACACGUACGAGAGGAAAUGCUCGUACCUUGACGGUACCUUACGAGAAAGCCACGGCUAACUACGUGCCAGCAGCCGCAGUAA
rnacentral:rRNA from 1 species